rnacentral:rRNA from 1 species
UUAAGCGACUAAGCGUACACGGUGGAUGCCCUGGCAGUCAGAGGCGAUGAAGGACGUGCUAAUCUGCGAUAAGCGUCGGUAAGGUGAUAUGAACCGUUAUAACCGGCGAUUUCCGAAUGGGGAAACCCAGUGUGUUUCGACACACUAUCAUUAACUGAAUCCAUAGGUUAAUGAGGCGAACCGGGGGAACUGAAACAUCUAAGUACCCCGAGGAAAAGAAAUCAACCGAGAUUCCCCCAGUAGCGGCGAGCGAACGGGGAGCAGCCCAGAGCCUGAAUCAGUGUGUGUGUUAGUGGAAGCGUCUGGAAAGGCGCGCGAUACAGGGUGACAGCCCCGUACACAAAAAUGCACAUAUUGUGAGCUCGAUGAGUAGGGCGGGACACGUGGUAUCCUGUCUGAAUAUGGGGGGACCAUCCUCCAAGGCUAAAUACUCCUGACUGACCGAUAGUGAACCAGUACCGUGAGGGAAAGGCGAAAAGAACCCCGGCGAGGGGAGUGAAAAAGAACCUGAAACCGUGUACGUACAAGCAGUGGGAGCCUCUUUUAUGGGGUGACUGCGUACCUUUUGUAUAAUGGGUCAGCGACUUAUAUUCUGUAGCAAGGUUAACCGAAUAGGGGAGCCGAAGGGAAACCGAGUCUUAACUGGGCGUUAAGUUGCAGGGUAUAGACCCGAAACCCGGUGAUCUAGCCAUGGGCAGGUUGAAGGUUGGGUAACACUAACUGGAGGACCGAACCGACUAAUGUUGAAAAAUUAGCGGAUGACUUGUGGCUGGGGGUGAAAGGCCAAUCAAACCGGGAGAUAGCUGGUUCUCCCCGAAAGCUAUUUAGGUAGCGCCUCGUGAAUUCAUCUCCGGGGGUAGAGCACUGUUUCGGCAAGGGGGUCAUCCCGACUUACCAACCCGAUGCAAACUGCGAAUACCGGAGAAUGUUAUCACGGGAGACACACGGCGGGUGCUAACGUCCGUCGUGAAGAGGGAAACAACCCAGACCGCCAGCUAAGGUCCCAAAGUCAUGGUUAAGUGGGAAACGAUGUGGGAAGGCCCAGACAGCCAGGAUGUUGGCUUAGAAGCAGCCAUCAUUUAAAGAAAGCGUAAUAGCUCACUGGUCGAGUCGGCCUGCGCGGAAGAUGUAACGGGGCUAAACCAUGCACCGAAGCUGCGGCAGCGACGCUGAUGCGUUGUUGGGUAGGGGAGCGUUCUGUAAGCCUGUGAAGGUGUGCUGUGAGGCAUGCUGGAGGUAUCAGAAGUGCGAAUGCUGACAUAAGUAACGAUAAAGCGGGUGAAAAGCCCGCUCGCCGGAAGACCAAGGGUUCCUGUCCAACGUUAAUCGGGGCAGGGUGAGUCGACCCCUAAGGCGAGGCCGAAAGGCGUAGUCGAUGGGAAACAGGUUAAUAUUCCUGUACUUGGUGUUACUGCGAAGGGGGGACGGAGAAGGCUAUGUUGGCCGGGCGACGGUUGUCCCGGUUUAAGCGUGUAGGCUGGUUUUCCAGGCAAAUCCGGAAAAUCAAGGCUGAGGCGUGAUGACGAGGCACUACGGUGCUGAAGCAACAAAUGCCCUGCUUCCAGGAAAAGCCUCUAAGCAUCAGGUAACAUCAAAUCGUACCCCAAACCGACACAGGUGGUCAGGUAGAGAAUACCAAGGCGCUUGAGAGAACUCGGGUGAAGGAACUAGGCAAAAUGGUGCCGUAACUUCGGGAGAAGGCACGCUGAUAUGUAGGUGAAGUCCCUCGCGGAUGGAGCUGAAAUCAGUCGAAGAUACCAGCUGGCUGCAACUGUUUAUUAAAAACACAGCACUGUGCAAACACGAAAGUGGACGUAUACGGUGUGACGCCUGCCCGGUGCCGGAAGGUUAAUUGAUGGGGUCAGCGCAAGCGAAGCUCUUGAUCGAAGCCCCGGUAAACGGCGGCCGUAACUAUAACGGUCCUAAGGUAGCGAAAUUCCUUGUCGGGUAAGUUCCGACCUGCACGAAUGGCGUAAUGAUGGCCAGGCUGUCUCCACCCGAGACUCAGUGAAAUUGAACUCGCUGUGAAGAUGCAGUGUACCCGCGGCAAGACGGAAAGACCCCGUGAACCUUUACUAUAGCUUGACACUGAACAUUGAGCCUUGAUGUGUAGGAUAGGUGGGAGGCUUAGAAGUGUGGACGCCAGUCUGCAUGGAGCCGACCUUGAAAUACCACCCUUUAAUGUUUGAUGUUCUAACGUUGACCCGUGAUCCGGGUUGCGGACAGUGUCUGGUGGGUAGUUUGACUGGGGCGGUCUCCUCCUAAAGAGUAACGGAGGAGCACGAAGGUUGGCUAAUCCUGGUCGGACAUCAGGAGGUUAGUGCAAUGGCAUAAGCCAGCUUGACUGCGAGCGUGACGGCGCGAGCAGGUGCGAAAGCAGGUCAUAGUGAUCCGGUGGUUCUGAAUGGAAGGGCCAUCGCUCAACGGAUAAAAGGUACUCCGGGGAUAACAGGCUGAUACCGCCCAAGAGUUCAUAUCGACGGCGGUGUUUGGCACCUCGAUGUCGGCUCAUCACAUCCUGGGGCUGAAGUAGGUCCCAAGGGUAUGGCUGUUCGCCAUUUAAAGUGGUACGCGAGCUGGGUUUAGAACGUCGUGAGACAGUUCGGUCCCUAUCUGCCGUGGGCGCUGGAGAACUGAGGGGGGCUGCUCCUAGUACGAGAGGACCGGAGUGGACGCAUCACUGGUGUUCGGGUUGUCAUGCCAAUGGCACUGCCCGGUAGCUAAAUGCGGAAGAGAUAAGUGCUGAAAGCAUCUAAGCACGAAACUUGCCCCGAGAUGAGUUCUCCCUGACCCUUUAAGGGUCCUGAAGGAACGUUGAAGACGACGACGUUGAUAGGCCGGGUGUGUAAGCGCAGCGAUGCGUUGAGCUAACCGGUACUAAUGAACCGUGAGGCUUAACCUU